CAGGGGUCCCCUUCUGUCCCGGCGGCCUGCGAGAGCCAAGGCUGCAGUCCCCCAUUUAUGCUUCCUGUUGGGUGUACCUCUCUGAAAGCCAGCAGCAUGGAGCCCAUUACAUUCCACAGAGGUCAGUUCCCAGGGCCCCAAACAAGGUAGAGAGUGGCUCUGGAGAAGCAAACCAAAGACACUUCCUCACUCUGUCCAUCAAAAGCCCGGGAGUCCACUGAAUACACUGUCCUUAGGAC
rnacentral:lncRNA from 1 species